UCUGACAACUGAGGCCAAUAUGUUCUUGCUUCCUGUGCAGGAAAAUGAUGGUGAGGACAAUUUGACCAAAGCAGGGUCAGGAACAUACCCACUGUUCUCUCUGCUCCCCGGCUAUAGAGGACACCCGGCCUUCUCCACCAUGGUUUCAAAACUCCGCAGCCAAAUGCUGGCCAUGCCCCGCUGUCAGCUGUCACACACUAUUCUCACUGGUUUCAUUAUGCAGCUCGUAUCUGGGAUGGUGUGAAAAAGUCCUCAGCCCUCUCUGAAUACAGUCGUCUGCUCUGCUGACACGUGUUGAACUGCUCUUAUGUACAGUU